GCAGCUUAUACAAGUCCAGGAUGGAGCAACAGCUGUCAAUCAGUGCCUCUCUGUGCUGCCCCCCUCUCCCCAGCUGCUGGGAACUGGGGCUUGGGUGGGCAGGAUCUGAAAGCUGUGACUGCAGGGGGAUGGACCAAUCAGCUGUCAAUGCAGAGAAGGGACUGAUCAGGAAGUGGACCAAGGAGCUCUUUCUGAGCUGCUGCAUCUGUUUUCAAGAAGUCCCAGAUACUGCCUGUUAUUUGAAAAACCCUCCCAGAGGACAGAGGCUCAAAAAGAGGCAGUGUGUGGGAAAACCUGGGCAUAUGUGUCCUGCCAAUAUGCCUCAGUCGUAACCUGCAAACCUUCUACUAUGCUAGGGAUGGAGAGAGCUUGAGAAAAUUCAAAUUAAACCUGGCAGAUUCAGAUAUAGCCCCGAUGAGCACAGAGGAGUCAUACAAACCCCAACAUGUACAAUAACACACCACAUGGAGAUGCCUCAGAAGUCCUAUCCUCUCUUCUGACCAUAGAGCUUCAGUACAGGUUAUAUCUCUGAAAACUGGCACUUUCUCAUCUAGCAACAUCCGUGGUCCAGCAGGUUUGCUCCUAGACCAGAAAGCCAAGGGGCCUACGAGCAAGAGGGCCAGCCAAGGCCAGUGCAACAGAGUUGGCAGCCCGACUAGGACAGCACGAGGCUGGGGCUGGAGCCAGAGACUCUCAUCUGGGGCCAGUCAGAUCCUGACGGUGCCAGAUCAGGGAGAUCUAACCUGUAACCCCAGCCAUGGUGGCAGCACUCUGCAGAAGUCAGUGGCAAAGCAUUUCUGGGUGAAAUCCAGGCUUGGCUGAGAUCAGUGGCCAAACGCACAUUUACUUCAGUGAGGGCAGGAUUUCAUGCCUACUGAUUGGACUGUAAGAUCUUUGAGUGGGAGCUGUCUUUUUGUUCUGUUUACAUACAGCACCUAACACCAUAGGGUCCUGGUUCAUGACAGGAAUUCCUAGAAGGGUGUUAAAUAACCAAGUGUAAAGCCUUGAUUUAAAUCAUUUUCACGGUAAUAACCAUUUCCAUUUGCACUCCAAUUAUUUUCUAAAGAAGGUGUCAGGUUGUUCUCUCUCGCUCAGGUAUUUACAGGUUUGUUCUAACUUUUGAUAGUUCAUGUUUCCAUUUGGAAAGUGGUCAUUUGUGAAGGCUCAUGCAUGUAUCAAAAUAAACAUUUACAACUAGGAUACAGGGGAGAGGAAAAAAGAGGUGGUUGUCAGAGAAAAAACAAAUGGAGAACUUUAUUAAAAGUGGACUCAAGUAUGUUUCUAGUAACUGAUGUAGGGAACGUCUACACUAGCCCCCUAGUUCGAAUUAGG